CCUAACAUACUUAGAUCAGAAUCAUACUUUUCUUUAUGUGCUGGGUAUUAAUCAUACUUUUCUUUAGGAGCAAGCUAACAGCCACUCAACUCCGUUAACCUUUAGAAAAAAAUCAAGUGACAAUACAAUACCGUAGAAAGCACGGAUCCAUAACAAAAAUUGGUUGAUUUCUCUUCAUUAUGCUAGAAUAGUGAGUAAUGCCUUCACGACCUUAUCAUAUUCUCUACUUACAUCUCAGCUCAAACCUAGGUAAAAUGUUUGAGCUGAUCUUUCUCCAUUCGUUUACUCUGCUCUUGUAAACGAUACAAAUAAAUAUAGAUUACAUCGGGAAAAAGCAAAGGGCUGGCCUGGUCAAUUCCCCUAGUGCUAACUACUGCUAUUAAUUAAUCUGAGGUUGGUUGACUUCCUGCGAUGUCUACUUCUGUCAGUACACAAAAUUGUGGAAUUUCCUCCGCCUUCUGAGUCCUCUGUACGGCCUUUCAUAUCUCCAUCAAAGUUUGGAAACAAAAGGAAGGUGUCACCACGUCUGAUGAACGCCUGAAUUGGCUGUACGGAUUUGUUCCUACUUGACCAAAUAUGUAAUCAGAGAAAUCUUCAUUGCUGGAGGAGUCCGUGGAGCUCACGGUGCUACAAGAACUUGCAUCCGAGGAGCUGAAAAUCGAUGAACUCUCACUUGAUGAAUCCAUAGCAGGAGCUCUGUACAUGGAAUGAGAUCUCCAAUCAUCUGGAUCUAAUGAUUGAUAGCUUGAACCAUCAAAAUUCAUCCUGUCCAUUCUCUACUAGACUUUGGUUGUCCUGCGGAACUAUUCAUACUUGGAACCGUGUAUCUCAACUUGGAUUUGCUAAGACUUGAAGGGACUGCUUCCGAGUUCCUUCUAUAGGAUGUCCCAGCAUGAGAAAGGGCGUUACUUCCUAACAAGACUGGGGGUCGCCUAGAAA